AAAAUAACCCACUCUUUCUUUCACAUAUAUAUAUAACAAUAUAUGUAAGAAAUAUAUUCCUCCUAUAUUCCUUCCCCUCAUAAUCGUGUUUGUGUGUGUGUGUGUGUGUGUGUGUGUGUGUGUGUGUGUGUGUGUGUGUGUGGGGUUGGACAUCUGUGGAUAUAUAUUAAAUAAUAAUUAAGAUGUUUU